rnacentral:rRNA from 1 species
UACGGAGGGUGCGAGCGUUGUCCGGAAUCACUGGGCGUAAAGGGCGCGUAGGUGGCCUUCUAAGUUGAACGUGAAAUCCCUGGGCUCAACCCAGGAACUGCGUCCAAGACUGGGAGGCUUGAAUCCGGGAGAGGGAUGCGGAAUUCCAGGUGUAGCGGUGAAAUGCGUAGAUAUCUGGAGGAACACCGGUGGCGAAGGCGGCAUCCUGGACCGGUAUUGACACUGAGGCGCGAAAGCCAGGGGAGCAAACGGG